rnacentral:rRNA from 1 species
GAUGAACGCUGGCGGCGUGCCUAAUACAUGCAAGUCGAGCGAACAGACGAGGAGCUUGCUCCUCUUACGUUAGCGGCGGACGGGUGAGUAACACGUGGAUAACCGACCUAUAAGACUAGGAUAACUUCGGGAAACCUGAGCUAGUACCGGAUAAUAUAGUGAACCGCAUGGUUCAAUAGUGAAAGACGGUUUUGCUGUCACUUAUAGAUGGAUCCGCGCCGCAUUAGCUAGUUGGUAAGGUAACGGCCUACCAAGGCAACGAUGCGUAGCCGACCUGAGAGGGUGAUCGGCCACACUGGAACUGAGACACGGUCCAGACUCCUACGGGAGGCAGCAGUAGGGAAUCUUCCGCAAUGGGCGAAAGCCUGACGGAGCAACGCCGCGUGAGUGAUGAAGGUCUUCGGAUCGUAAAACUCUGUUAUUAGGGAAGAACAAAUGUGUAAGUAACUAUGCACGUCUUGACGGUACCUACUCAGAAAGCCCCGGCUAACUACGUG